rnacentral:rRNA from 1 species
UACGGGAGGCAGCAGUGGGGAAUAUUGCACAAUGGGCGCAAGCCUGAUGCAGCCAUGCCGCGUGUAUGAAGAAGGCCUUCGGGUUGUAAAGUACUUUCAGUCGUGAGGAAGGUGUUAAGGUUAAUAACCUUAGCAAUUGACGUUAGCGACAGAAGAAGCACCGGCUAACUCCGUGCCAGCAGCCGCGGUAAUACGGAGGGUGCGAGCGUUAAUCGGAAUUACUGGGCGUAAAGGGCACGCAGGCGGUUAAUUAAGUUGGAUGUGAAAUCCCCGGGCUUAACCUGGGAAUGGCAUUCAAGACUGGUUAGCUAGAGUCUUGUAGAGGGGGUUAGAAGUUCCAUGUGUAGCGGUGAAAUGCGUAGAGAUGUGGAGGAAUACCGGUGGCGAAGGCGGCCCCUGGACAAAGACUGACGCUCAUGUGCGAAAGCGUGGGGAGCAAACAGGGAUUAGAUACC